GGCGUCGUGGCGCAAUGGCUAGCGCAUAGAGCUUCUAUCACAUUCCAAAGGGAGACACCUCCCGAUCAAUCAAUUACUCUAAGGCUGCGGGUUCGAGUCCCGCCGACGUCU